CUAACUGAGGACCACAGUCAGAGCAAGAGGAACAAAGAUGUGGUAACAGAGGGAAGAUCUCCAGCAGGCCCCAGUCUGUAGGAACCAAGAGUGUGGGGGUAGCACGGGGAUUACAAAACCAGGAAGGAAGAGUUAUUUGGAGGCACACCUGACUUGCCAAAGGAUGAAGACCAUAAGAAAACAUGUCAGGAGGAGACCACAGAAGCUAAGACACACUCUAAGUCACAAGAUGGAAUGACUCAUGCCUGUUUUGUACUCUUCUAAAUCCUGAGAUGCAGAAUAACUAUAUCAAAGUCAGCUGGAAUAUUCUAGAAUUCCAGGGACUCAGCCUGCCCAGUUCCUGGGAUCUUGUCUCCAGUUCAGCAAAGGUUGUUGCAGUGGAGAAAGAAACAACAGGAAGGAUCCAUGUCAGUUGUCCCAGGCUGCAGCCUGGGCAUGUCAAAUCUAUCAGGCAAAGACUGCAACAGUCACGUGGCUGAGUCGGGAUUUGGGCCUGAGUCUAUAAAGCCUACACUGUUUUGCACUAUGCAAGUAUUUGAGUUCCUCCUGAGGACAGAGCUGUCUCUGUUCCUCUGUGCCGUGGGCAGAUGGCGGGGAGUGUGUGUUCCUGCAGAAGAGCGUGCUGUCCCUGCUCCCCAGCCUCCCGCGGGCCCCUUCCUGGAAGACAUCCAGAAGGACCGGCAGCACUGCAUCAGCUUCCCAGACCACAGGAGCACUCACCACCUUCGAAAGCACGAGGCUGAGAGGAAUGACAUGGAGGGCCCCAUGGAGGUUUCCAGAGCACCAGGGACCAAGGCCCUGAGGACCGCAUUGGCUGUCAUUCAGACAUCGCAUCUGGCAGAGUGUCCUUGGCUGAAAGCGAUUGGAAACCAUUGCAGCCAUCUUUAA
rnacentral:lncRNA from 1 species